GUGUUAUCCUUCAGCUAUUUGAGUAUAUUUAAGAUAGUAUUUUAAAAACCUUUAUCUAGGGCUGGAGAGAUGGCUCAGCCAUUAAAAGCUAGGCUCACAACCAAAAAA
ensembl:miRNA